UAUCUAAUAAGUGACAUCUCAUAACCUACGUUGGCUAUAUAGUUCUAGAACUUAGGGAUUGCUUAUAGGAACCCAGUCCUAACUAAUAGGUGUGCCCCCAUCCCUAGGCUCGCUCGAUGCUGAAUCCUACUCCCAAUUAAAAGACACUGAACUGAAUAUACUGAACUGGACUGGACUAAUACUGAGAUUACUGAGUUUUUCUAAGUUCUAUAACUGACUGAAUUCUACUGAGU
rnacentral:lncRNA from 1 species